rnacentral:rRNA from 1 species
ACGAACGCUGGCGGCGUGCCUAAUACAUGCAAGUAGAACGCUGAAGGCGGAGCUUGCUUCUCUGGAUGAGUUGCGAACGGGUGAGUAACGCGUAGGUAACCUGCCUGGUAGCGGGGGAUAACUAUUGGAAACGAUAGCUAAUACCGCAUAAUAGUAGAUGUUGCAUGACAUUUGCUUAAAAGGUGCAAUUGCAUCACUACCAGAUGGACCUGCGUUGUAUUAGCUAGUUGGUGGGGUAACGGCUCACCAAGGCGACGAUACAUAGCCGACCUGAGAGGGUGAUCGGCCACACUGGGACUGAGACACGGCCCAGACUCCUACGGGAGGCAGCAGUAGGGAAUCUUCGGCAAUGGACGGAAGUCUGACCGAGCAACGCCGCGUGAGUGAAGAAGGUUUUCGGAUCGUAAAGCUCUGUUGUAAGAGAAGAACGAGUGUGAGAGUGGAAAGUUCACACUGUGACGGUAUCUUACCAGAAAGGGACGGCUAACUACGUG